GACGAACGCUGGCGGCGUGCUUAACACAUGCAAGUCGAGCGGUAAGGCCCUUUCGGGGGUACACGAGCGGCGAACGGGUGAGUAACACGUGGGUGACCUGCCCUCAGCUCUGGGAUAAGCCUGGGAAACCGGGUCUAAUACUGGAUAUGACUCCAUGACGCAUGUUGUGGGGUGGAAAGCCUUGUGCGGCUGAGGAUGGGCCCGCGGCCUAUCAGCUUGUUGGUGGGGUGANGGCCUACCAAGGCGACGACGGGUAGCCGGCCUGAGAGGGCGACCGGCCACACUGGGACUGAGACACGGCCCAGACUCCUACGGGAGGCAGCAGUGGGGAAUAUUGCGCAAUGGGCGGAAGCCUGACGCGGCGACGCCGCGUGGGGAUGACGGCCU
rnacentral:rRNA from 1 species